CCUACGGGUGGCUGCAGUGGGGAAUUUUGCGCAAUGGGCGAAAGCCUGACGCAGCAACGCCGCGUGCGGGAAGAAGGCCCUCGGGUUGUAAACCGCUUUCGGCAGGAACGAAAUUGACGGUACCUGCAGAAGAAGCCCCGGCCAACUACGUGCCAGCAGCCGCGGUAAUACGUAGGGGGCGAGCGUUGUCCGGAUUCAUUGGGCGUAAAGAGCUCGUAGGCGGUUCGGUAAGUCAGAUGUGAAAACUCCAGGCUCAACUUGGAGACGCCAUCUGAUACUGCCGUGACUAGAGUCCGGUAGGGGAGCACGGAAUUCCUGGUGUAGCGGUGAAAUGCGCAGAUAUCAGGAGGAACACCAGCGGCGAAGGCGGUGCUCUGGGCCGGAACUGACGCUGAGGAGCGAAAGCGUGGGUAGCGAACAGGAUUAGAUACCCCAGUAGUCUA
rnacentral:rRNA from 1 species